UGAUCAUCAAAAUCAAUCCUUGGGUCAUCACCUUGGAUGGGAUCCAAGCAAGUAAGUUCAUAAUAUGAUGAACUAAGAAAUUUUAUAAUAAAUAAAUGGGGAAUAAUGUAAUCCCUAUUAUGUUGUUUUAGGUGAUUAAGGAUUUGUCAUCUGGACUUGAGCAAUUUGGAAAGCGAAUUGAAGUAAGUAAUCUGUCUUAAUCUUAUCGUAGAUCUUGUAUUACGUUUUAUAAGAUGAACCAGUGUUUUUCAUACAAUUUGAAUUGUAUACAUGAUUUGUGAAGAAAGUAAGUAAUCUGUCUUAAUCUUAUCGUAGAUCUUGUAUUACGUUUUAUAAGAUGAACCAGUGUUUUUCAUACAAUUUGAAUUGUAUACAUGAUUUGUGAAGAAAGUAAGUAAUCUGUCUUAAUCUUAUCGUAGAUCUUGUAUCACGUUUUAU
rnacentral:lncRNA from 1 species